GUCUUUGAGGGAGGCAGAGGGUGGAGGGCUGGUGGGGAACGGACGUGGUCCAGGACCAGGGGCCAGGCAGCAGACGAGAGGGGAUUUAUGAUCAGACAAGACUGCAUCCUGUUUAUGUUUUCCAGAGCCUGUCUGACUAAGCAAGAGGGAGAGGAAGAAAAGACAGAGGAGCAUAAUUAUUGCACGGCGAGAUCGGCUCCGACGUAUCCGUGAGCGGCGUCCGCUAGCUGCAUCAGCUCCGCUGUGGUGGCGCUGCAUGGCACCAGACUCAGCUGCUUCUGCAGAAUGUCAGCCCGCUCUGCACUACCAGGAACUCCCACCUGAACAGAACACGGCAUGGGUCACAGGGGGAAGAUCUUUGCUUUCAUUAGAGCACAAACAACACCCCAGAGAACCAACCCACAGCGUCUGAAGUGCAUCCAGCCUGCAGAGAUGGUUUCUGCAUGACAAUCUACAUUCCUGAUGAGGAAUCCUGACAGCAGCUGGACGUCUGCGUCUAUUGAACCAGCACCUCCUGGACCGUGGGAAGAGAACAACCUCAGACUGAAAAACGAUGAAAAAUUCUACCUUAAUUUAGCAUUUAAUCAAUAACUGUUGAGAAGCAACUAGAGUUGGGAGGUACCUAGUUACAUUUACUUUAGUAAUUUUGUUCAAAAAAUUUACUUUCAGGAGUAUUUUUAUUACUGUGCUGUUCUUUUUACUGUUAGUUGAGUAAUUUUUUUUAUGAAGAAAAACUACUCUAACCUGAGUACAAUUUCUGGAUCUUCUGUCACUGUGAGUAAUUUCUCUCCCAAAGUUCUGUGGAAACAGAUUUUUUUAAAUACUGAGAUAUUUUAAAUAAAAAUCAGGUGGUCUCUGCAA